AUAGCUCAGUGGUAGAGCACAUGCUUAGCAUGCACAAGGUCCUGGGUUCAAAUCCCAGU
rnacentral:tRNA from 1 species